UACAGAGGUCCCAAGCGUUGUUCGGAUUCAUUGGGCGUAAAGGGUGUGUAGGUGGCGCCGUAAGUCGGGUGUGAAAUCUCGGGGCUUAACUCCGAAACUGCAUUCGAUACUGCGGUGCUUGAGGACUGGAGAGGAGACUGGAAUUCAUGGUGUAGCAGUGAAAUGCGUAGAGAUCAUGAGGAAGACCAGUGGCGAAGGCGGGUCUCUGGACAGUUCCUGGCACUGAGGCACGAAGGCCAGGGGAGCAAACGGG
rnacentral:rRNA from 1 species